rnacentral:lncRNA from 1 species
CUUUUUUGAAAGGGAGGCGAACACUAACAACACAAUCCUUUGCGGCUAAACUGAAAGAACUGACCAGACCGCAAUGGCUUCAAGUGAUUCCUCUCAUCACCAUGAAUUCAACAAAGGAGCAUUUUUUGAUGUUGAUGUUGACAUUCAACCAUACAUGUUUCAACAGGAAUAUAGCGAAGAGGAUUUGAAACAAAGAGUUGGAUUUAGCUAGAAGCUCAGCUACAGCUGAUGCCAGCACCAAGAGUGCAGAUGACAAAUACUGUAUCUAGCUAAACAACACCGUGUGGUGCCUGGGCUUCUUCCUGGAGUGGAUUCUAGAUGGAUAGAAUCAUAAUUUCUAUGCCAUUGUAGCAGAACUGUAUCCCUCUCGAUGGAUUGGACAUUAUGCUGGAUUUCAAGCAGAAAAUGACACAAUAUGAGCUGAAUGGCAGUUUGAUCAUGACAAUGUCAUGGAAAUACUACACAGGGACACUCAAACUGCAGGUGGUCAGUUUGAAUGUUUCCACAAAUGGAGGACAUAGACAGUAUCGCCAAGGACCUGGGCCCUAGGACCAUGCCUCAGGACUACCUGGCUUGAUGACUCCUUGCUGUCCCCAGUUCACCUGGCCGUGCUGCUGCUCCAGUUCCAACUGUUCUGCCUGCAGCUAUGGAACCCUGACCUGUUCACCGGACGUGCUACCUGUCCCAGACCUGCUGUCCCAGACCUGCUGGAACCCUGACCUAUUCACCGGACGAGCUACCUGUCCCAGACCUGCUGUUUUCAACUCUCUAGAGACAGCAGGAGCGGUAGAGAUUCUCUCAAAGAUCGGCUAUGAAAAAGCCAAC